rnacentral:rRNA from 1 species
UUCCGUAGGUGAACCUGCGGAAGGAUCAUUACCGAGUGUAGGGUUCCUAGCGAGCCCAACCUCCCACCCGUGUUUACUGUACCUUAGUUGCUUCGGCGGGCCCGCCAUUCAUGGCCGCCGGGGGCUCUCAGCCCCCGGCCCGCGCCCGCCGGAGACACCACGAACUCUGUCUGAUCUAGUGAAGUCUGAGUUGAUUGUAUCGCAAUCGGUUAAAACUUUCAACAAUGGAUCUCUUGGUUCCGGCAUCGAUGAAGAACGCAGCGAAAUGCGAUAACUAGUGUGAAUUGCAGAAUUCCGUGAAUCAUCGAGUCUUUGAACGCACAUUGCGCCCCCUGGUAUUCCGGGGGGCAUGCCUGUCCGAGCGUCAUUGCUGCCCAUCAAGCACGGCUUGUGUGUUGGGUCGUCGUCCCCUCUCCGGGGGGGACGGGCCCCAAAGGCAGCGGCGGCACCGCGUCCGAUCCUCGAGCGUAUGGGGCUUUGUCACCCGCUCUGUAGGCCCGGCCGGCGCUUGCCGAACGCAAAUCAAUCUUUUUCCAGGUUGACCUCGGAUCAGGUAGGGAUACCCGCUGAACUUAAGCAUAUCAAUAAGCGGAGGAA